rnacentral:rRNA from 1 species
AGCGAACGCUGGCGGCAGGCUUAACACAUGCAAGUCGAGCGCCCAGCAAUGGGAGCGGCAGACGGGAUAGUAACACGUGGGAACGUACCUUUCAGUUCGGAACAACCCAGGGAAACUUGGGCUAAUACCGAAUACGUCCGUAAGGAGAAAGAUUUAUCGCUGAAAGAUCGGCCCGCGUCUGAUUAGCUAGUUGGUGAGGUAAUGGCUCACCAAGGCGACGAUCAGUAGCUGGUCGAGAGGAUGAUCAGCAUCACUGGGACUGAGACAC